rnacentral:rRNA from 1 species
GACGAACGCUGGCGGCGUGCCUAAUACAUGCAAGUAGGACGCAGUCGCGAACGGGUUAGUAACGCGUCGGUCACUGCCUAUUAGAGGGGGAUAACUAUUGGAAACGAUAGCUCAUACCGCAUACUAAUAGAUGGACCUGCGUUGUAUUAGCUAGUAGGUAGGGUAAUGGCCUACCUAGGCAACGAUACAUAGCCGCCCUGGGAGGGUGAACGGCCAAAAUGGGACGUAGACACGGGCCAGACUCCUACGGGAGGCAGCAGUAGGGAAUCUUCGGCAAAGGGGGGAACCCUGACCGAGCAACGCCGCGGGAGAGAAGAAGGUUUUCGGAGCGUAAAGCUCUGUUGUUAAGGAAGCGGUACUUAACGAGGAAGGGACGGCUAACUACGUGCCAGCAGCCGCGGUAAUAC